rnacentral:lncRNA from 1 species
UUUUUUUUUUUUUUAUAUUGAUGAUUGUAUUCUUGUUUAUUAUAUUAUAAGGGUUUUAUUCAUUUGGCUUAUUUGAUUGCCGUGUGUGUUUUAUUGUUGCAGGGAAUUCGGGAGUUAUUGUUUAUGGUUACAUUUCUCUUUUGGCGACCUGCUUAUUUCUCAGUGGUAUUUGUGUUUUGAUGGUUUGAGGCACUAUGGGUUUAUUGAGUAAGGAAUAAUUAUUUUGUUGUUGUUGAUGUGUUUGGUUUUUUUGGUAUUUUGAUGUAUUUGGUUGUUGUUUUUUAUUAGUUUUACUUUUGGGAACGUGGGUAUUUCUAUGGUGGAUCUUUUUAGGUAGUUAUUUUAUUUCGGUGGUGAAUCUUUUCUUUCUUCGUGGUUCCGAUAUUGUUACAUCGGUAAUUAUUUGGUGGGGUUUUUUAAUUCAUUUUAUAGAGUAUUGGGUUCUCUUUAUGAGUUAGUGUCGUGGUAGAGUUUUGGUUGGUUUUUUUUUUUUUUUAAGAAACGUUCGGGGUCUGUUGUGUUGUUUGGAGUAUAGUAAGUUGGCGUUUCUUUUUUUUGUUUGUUUGUUUUGUUUUAGUGGUUUUUGUCAUCUGCUCUGUGGGUUUCUAUAGGUCUUUUUUAAAAUGUUUGUUUCAUUUUUGUGAUGUGAUAAGAACUGCUAGUGAAAGGAGUGUAGUGCGGGUUUUUUUGCUGGUAGUUGGUUGGCUGGUGGAGCCUUUCUGAAUUUUUUGGACGGUAUUGUUGGGAAUUCGAUGCUGUUUGUUUUGGCAUUUUAUUAUUAGGAAUUGGAUUUUUACUGCAAAGUUUUAACUAUAGAUCUAAUGAAACAAAACAAAUGCAUAAAUAUGAAAAUGGGAACAAAAACUUAAAUUUUAAAUAUAAACAGAAAAUAUAUAAAUAAAACAUGUAACAUGAAUAAUGUUAUCUAUUACUAUUAGAUAUAAUAUUGUUUGCUAUAGAGUAUUUUAUAUCUUUAUAUAAAUACAUAUAAAUAUAGAUUAUAAAUAUAAACAAAAUAUCCAUCAAGAGAUGUAUAAUUAAUACAUGUGGGUAUAUAAAUAUAACAAAAUAAUAGGAAUCAAUAUAGUUCAUAAUGUAUAUUUUACUGUAUAUGUCUUCUUAUAGCACAUUAUAUGUCAUAAAUAUUAUGUAUCUAAAUAGAGUACAUCAAUAUAUUGUGAUAUAAUAGACAAAAACUUGUAAAAAUAAAAAA